GGGUUGCGGACAGUGUCUGGUGGGUAGUUUGACUGGGGCGGUCUCCUCCUAAAGAGUAACGGAGGAGCACGAAGGUUGGCUAAUCCUGGUCGGACAUCAGGAGGUUAGUGCAAUGGCAUAAGCCAGCUUGACUGCGAGCGUGACGGCGCGAGCAGGUGCGAAAGCAGGUCAUAGUGAUCCGGUGGUUCUGAAUGGAAGGGCCAUCGCUCAACGGAUAAAAGGUACUCCGGGGAUAACAGGCUGAUACCGCCCAAGAGUUCAUAUCGACGGCGGUGUUUGGCACCUCGAUGUCGGCUCAUCACAUCCUGGGGCUGAAGUAGGUCCCAAGGGUAUGGCUGUUCGCCAUUUAAAGUGGUACGCGAGCUGGGUUUAGAACGUCGUGAGACAGUUCGGUCCCUAUCUGCCGUGGGCGCUGGAGAACUGAGGGGGGCUGCUCCUAGUACGAGAGGACCGGAGUGGACGCAUCACUGGUGUUCGGGUUGUCAUGCCAAUGGCACUGCCCGGUAGCUAAAUGCGGAAGAGAUAAGUGCUGAAAGCAUCUAAGCACGAAACUUGCCCCGAGAUGAGUUCUCCCUGACCCUUUAAGGGUCCUGAAGGAACGUUGAAGACGACGACGUUGAUAGGCCGGGUGUGUAAGCGCAGCGAUGCGUUGAGCUAACCGGUACUAAUGAACCGUGAGGCUUAACCUUACAACGCCGAAGCUGUU
rnacentral:rRNA from 1 species